rnacentral:rRNA from 1 species
GACGAACGCUGGCGGCGUGCUUAACACAUGCAAGUCGAACGGAAAGGCCCCUUUGGGGGUACUCGAGUGGCGAACGGGUGAGUAACACGUGAGUAACCUGCCCUUGACUUCGGGAUAACUUCAGGAAACUGGGGCUAAUACCGGUUAGGAAUCCUUGCUGCAUGGGGGGGGUUGGAAAGCUUCGGCGGUUUUGGGUGGACUGGCGGCAUAUCAGCUUGUUGCGGGGGUGGUGGCUUACCAAGGCUUUGAAGGGUAGCCGGCCUGAGAGGGCGACCGGCCACAUUGGGACUUAGAUACGGCCCAGACUCCUACGGGAGGGAGCAGGGGGGAAGAUUGCACAAUGGGCGGAGGCCUGAUGCAGCAACGCCGCGUGCGGGAUGACUGCCUUCGGGUUGUAAACCGCAUUCAGCAGGGGCGAAGCUUGUGGUGACGGUACCUGCAGAAGAAGCACCGGCUAACUACGUG